UACGAAGGGGGCUAGCGUUGUUCGGAAUUACUGGGCGUAAAGCGCACGUAGGCGGAUUGUUAAGUUAGGGGUGAAAUCCCGGGGCUCAACCCCGGAACUGCCUUUAAUACUGGCAAUCUCGAGUCCGAGAGAGGUGAGUGGAAUUCCGAGUGUAGAGGUGAAAUUCGUAGAUAUUCGCAAGAACACCAGUGGCGAAGGCGGCUCACUGGCCCGAUACUGACGCUGAGGCACGAAAGCGUGGGGAGCAAACAGG
rnacentral:rRNA from 1 species